rnacentral:rRNA from 1 species
GAGUGGCGGACGGGUGAGUAAUGCUUGGGAACUUGCCUUUGCGAGGGGGAUAACAGUUGGAAACGACUGCUAAUACCGCAUAAUGUCUUCGGACCAAACGGGGCUUCGGCUCCGGCGCAAAGAGAGGCCCAAGUGAGAUUAGCUAGUUGGUAAGGUAACGGCUUACCAAGGCGACGAUCUCUAGCUGUUCUGAGAGGAAGAUCAGCCACACUGGGACUGAGACACGGCCCAGACUCCUACGGGAGGCAGCAGUGGGGAAUAUUGCACAAUGGGGGAAACCCUGAUGCAGCCAUGCCGCGUGUGUGAAGAAGGCCUUCGGGUUGUAAAGCACUUUCAGUUGUGAGGAAAAGUUAGUAGUUAAUACCUGCUAGCCGUGACGUUAACAACAGAAGAAGCACCGGCUAACUCCGUGCCAGCAGCCGCGGUAAUACGGAGGGUGCGAGCGUUAAUCGGAAUUACUGGGCGUAAAGCGCACGCAGGCGGUUUGUUAAGCUAGAUGUGAAAGCCCCGGGCUCAACCUGGGAUGGUCAUUUAGAACUGGCAGACUAGAGUCUUGGAGAGGGGAGUGGAAUUCCAGGUGUAGCGGUGAAAUGCGUAGAUAUCUGGAGGAACAUCAGUGGCGAAGGCGACUCCCUGGCCAAAGACUGACGCUCAUGUGCGAAAGUGUGGGUAGCGAACAGGAUUAGAUACCCUGGUAGUCCACACCGUAAACGCUGUCUACUAGCUGUGUGUGUCUUUAAGACGUGCGUAGCGAAGCUAACGCGCUAAGUAGACCGCCGGGGGAGUACGGCCGCAAGGUUAAAACUCAAAUGAAUUGACGGGGGCCCGCACAAGCGGUGGAGCAUGUGGUUUAAUUCGAUGCAACGCGAAAAACCUUACCUACACUUGACAUGCUGAGAAGUUACUAGAGAUAGUUUCGUGCCUUCGGGAACUCAGACACAGGUGCUGCAUGGCUGUCGUCAGCUCGUGUCGUGAAAUGUUGGGUUAAGUCCCGCAACGAGCGCAACCCUUGUCCUUAGUUGCCAGCCUUAAGUUGGGCACUCUUAAGAGACUGCCGGGUGACAAACCGGAAGGAAGGUGGGGGACAACCUCAAGUCCUCCUGGGCCCUUACCUGUG